CACUGAAUUUCAUGGGCCGCCAGACGGGC
rnacentral:sRNA from 1 species